CAGAGAUUGCGGUCAUUUUCUCGGUCUGAGCUGUAGUGGUGGGGGUGGCUGAGUCUGCUCUUCUUGGAGUGAAAGGACAAGCCGUUGGUCAUUACAGAAUAUUGAGUAGACUUCCCUGUGCUAUACAGACAGAAGCAUGUGGUGUGACAUUGACCCUUGGUCCCACGAGGAAAGGGGGCUGGAAAAUGUCAUCGAGCUGUAGGAAAAUCAACCCUUCCUCAUCCUGGGAGGAUUUAUUGAUGCCACCACAAGCUCAGCAAAUUACAUUCAUAAAGGUGAAAUCCCCAUCGCAGCCUAUGAAAGGUGUUAGUAUAUUGCCAGUACGGUUUAUCCUACAAAUGGCAACAGCCCUGCCCUGAUGAGCAGCAGGCUCCGGUGAUUUCAGCAGUA